rnacentral:lncRNA from 1 species
UAGUAAAAGGAAGUGUUAUAAUUGUUAAGAUGAACAUUUAUUUAAUUUUGAUAUUUCACAGCUUUUUAGCCUUCCGUAAGUAUCUUUAUGUUCUAUCUAGAUAGGAUGCUAUAUGGUAUGGUUGAAGAAUUUUAUGCCUGUCGAUUACUUUGUUUACAUUUCUAUCACAAUCACAUGUACAUUUUAUCUUGUGAUCGUCGUGGCAGACAAAAUCUUGAGAGGGAACUGCUACUUGUGAAUAGUGGUGUAUUUGAAGUACUGUUUGGACUCGUCGUUCAAGAAAAUCUGUGUAUUUUAUAUUUGGUAGAUUUUUAUAAAGAAUAGAAAGUCAGUUUACUUUGAGUUUAAUAAUUUGACUCAUGGGACCAAAAAUAUAAAACCCUAAGUUCACACACAUUUAUGAAUCUGUUAUACUGUAAAGAUCUAUUUAAGAUUGUUUUCAAAUGGCAUGUAUAUGAAAUUAAAUGAGGAAAAUUGAUAACUUCCUCUUAUUGUCAAACAGGAUGAUAAAUUGAUUCCUGUUUUUGUUUGUCAAUGCAUGGUGUAGUUUUGCAAGCUUAGUUUGAUAACAUAUAGUGUAACCAAGUGGGGAAGACAUAAAAGGCUGAUACAGAUGUUGAUAUUUUAAUGGUAAACUCAAAGGAGGUAGAUACAGUGUAUGAACAUCUACAAAAUGAAAAUAAAAAAAGGAAUUAGAAAAUACAAUGACAAUCUUCGGCUGUUGUAUGCUAUUUGGUCGACCUCUUCUUAUUUUCAAAUGAAUCGGAGUUCUUUCAGACACUUAUGAAAAGCAAGAAAAUCAAAGAAUCCAGAUUAUAAAAUUUCACUUUUAGAUAUAUUGAUGAUGUAUUUUCCAUUAAACAUCCAAACAUUUCUGAUUAGGUUCCAUUAAUAUAUUCCCCCGAACUAGAUAUUAAAGAAACGACAGACUUAUACUUCGAAUUUGACAUACACAGUCAUUACAGCUGUGGUACUAGUACCAGAAUCUAUGACAAGCGAGACAAUUUUUUUUUUAAUUUUGAUAUAUCAAUUUCGCCAACCUUAGUAGUAAUAUAUACCAACUUCACCUGAAUAUGGGAUAUACAUUUCCCAUUUUAUUCAAUAUUCAAGAGUUUUCUGCACCUCCUACUCAGACUUUGUAAAACGUCAUCAGUGUUUGAGCAGCAAAUGGAUGAACCAAGGGUAUGUCAAAGAACGUCUCGUCCUUUUUCUAAAAAAGUUCAUCGGAAGGUACCAAGACCUUGUUGAUAAAUAUUGCGUAUAAACUUCACAAAUAAUACAUGAUGGUCUUGAUGUAUAGAUUCUGCGUACUGACGUUGUUUAUCAUCUUAACAACGUGUUAUAUUGUUCUUUCAUUUGUCUUUGUUCUAUUAUUAAUAUUACUUUCACAGUUUUGUCUGGUUUCUGUGAUAUUUUACUCGCGUAGGAGUAUUAACCAUAUGUGGAUUCUUAGUAAUUUUUAAAUGUGUUCUGGAUAGUUUUAAAUCUUGGUCUGUUUCUUAAAUUAGUUUUAACAUAAUUUUGAUUUUUUUAACCCUGUGUACAACCAUUCUUCGUGUGAAUUUAUAUAUAUUUUUAAAAAAACAUUGAACCGCAAAAUUAUUUUAUAUUUUUAUAUGUGACGUUAUCAUUUUUAUGACGUCAAAUACGUGAAGCAAUGCAUGUCGUUUAUAAAUUUGAUAGAUGCUUUUGUGCUUUUUUGUUAAAUAUGUGUUUGUUUUGAGAUUGUGACACAGUGAUGACUGUUGUAUUUAUAUUUUGACUAUUUACCUAUUAUGUUUGUUUUGUUCACGCAUCUUUGUAAAUGUAAUGGAAUUGGAUGCGACUGUGAGAGGUUUAGCGCAAAAAAAAACACAUUUAAUCCACCAUUUUCUACAUUUGAAAAUGCCUUCACCAAAUCACGAAUAUGACAGUGGUUGUCCAUACGAUUGAUGGGUUUUAUCAUUUGAUUAGGGACUUUCCGUUUUAAAUUUUUCUCGGAGUUCAGUAUUUUUGUGAUUUUACUUUAUACACGAAAAAGUAAACAGCUUUCGUAAGGAAAAGUAAUGCCACACAAACAAAGAUAUAAAUUGUACGGUAUCUCAUUCUAAAUAUUGCCGUUUAAUUACACUAAACUGCUAUAACAUUUGUUGAUGAAAAUAUUGGUUUGGCGCAAAUGCUUGAUAAAAGAAACAAUAUAAUGAUGACACGCUCUGACUAUAUGACCUCAUAAUAUAUAAUAUGAUUAUCUAGAAAAAAUUAAAUUGGCGCUAGGUACAACAAUAAUAAUCUUUGUCAACAACACGAUUAAUUUGUCUUCCUGUCAGUAUAAAAAUGUACCAAACCGGUUACAGUAACGACAAAAAACCCGUAGUGUAUUGACACUUGCAUACAGCCUCCCCUGCUUAAGACAGUAUAAUGUCCCCAUUUACUGAAAACUUAAUACUCGAAGUUUUAAAAUAAACUUUCUCAUAAGUAUGUUAAACAAUCAGAAAUUGUAAAAACUAAUCUAAAUCAUAUCAAAAAUUGUAAAACAACUAAUCUAAAUCAUAUCAAAAAUAUAAAGUACAUACAAGCAAACAACAAACAAACAAAAAUUACAUUGAGUAUGUUUAACAAAAUAAUAAUGACUCACUGGUGGAUCUAAAAACUUGAGUACAAGAACUAUUUCUUACAAUAUAAAGUAAAAACCAACAAUUUUAUAUAUUGUUGUAAAGUCAAUAAAAUCCUAUACGGUCUUAGAAAUUCUUCAAUUGGUACGGGAUGAACAUUUGAAUGUGUUCAAGGAUUUACGCGUGCACUACGACGGAGGGGUUGAGAACCUUCAUAUCAAAAAGCAAAUGGAUCAUCUUCAUCAGAUUCAUUGUCAUUUUCCUCAUUACUAGCCGUCAAACAUUCUCUACGGCAAUACUUUUCUACCCACCUGGUGCAAAUGAUAGGUAAAGGUCUAUGGUUCAAUGGGUCAAAAGGCCCAGGUGGGACAACUUAUGGUUGUUUUCAUCAUUUUAUUUAGGUCCAAAGUUGGGUGUAGACAUCCUAACUUAACCUCACGAAAACAAUCUCAUCAGCAAUAUAGUUUUAUCUGCACUAGGUGUAAAAGGAAGGUGGGGACCUGUCAUGAAUUCUUUUUUAAAAAGCUAAUUAAUAAUAUCACUGCACAUCAUUCUUUGAGCACAGCAAAUAAAUAUUUCGUCCAAUCAAAUACAUGUAUAAGCAAAAUCCACUAGUUCAGAAGUAGAAUUGUUCGUCAAAUCAAUGUUGUCCUACAAAAAAAUUAUGAAAGCACAUGUACAACUUUCUAUUCUUCUAAUGCAGAACAAUUGUUACCUUUCAAGCUAUUUCAUAAAAUGUCUCAAAAUAAUUUCUUACACCAUACAACAAUACUUGUGUUCAAAACUCAAAAUCUAAUCAGUGUGCAGCAUCAUGUAAGAUAUAUAGAAAGCGAAUACCAUUGUCGUCUUAGUGAAUAGGAAAUGAAAUUUAUUUAAUAGAGUAUUUGACUGCAUAAUCUUAUAUUAAAACAGAUGAUUUUGGUUAUAUAUUUAUAAAAAAAAAACAUUUUAAGUACGUUUGGUUGUAAGGCAACUUUUGGGUUUAAAAAACAUAUCUGGAAACUGGCAACUAGCGAAGCGGCUGAUAGCUAAUGACUGCUACAUUGUACGUGUUGUUUAUUCUUUAGUUUUCUAUGUUAUGUCGUGUGUGCUGUUAUUUGUUUGUCUUUUUCAUUUUUAGCCAUGGCGUUGUCAGUUUGUUUUAGAUUUAUGAGUUUGACUGUCCCUUUGGUAUCUUUCGUCCCUCUUUUAUAACCACUGGGUCGAGGUCUCUGCUGGUGGACAUUUUUGUCCCCGAGGACAUCAUCCGCCCAGUAGCAAAACUACAAUUGCAUGAAUUUACGAAGAUCUAACAGGAAACUGGCUCGGACGUCGCCCAGUAUAAAAAAAGGUCCGAAACAGACGUCACCAUGGACACGGUGUCGUCUGAUACGGCAGGUGUCCCCUCAUCACCAGACAUGACAAAUAACACAAACAUGACUCAUUCAGAUCAUCGUCCUAGUGAUAACAGCAAUAUUACACAUAUACAGCCAUGUUCAGUUCUCCUCAAAGACAUUUUGGUUUUUGAUGACACAGUACAACACUGUCGCAUUUCGAAAUGUGAAACCAAAGGCUGCAAAACUUGUGCAAUUUUAAUUACAGAUGAUAAAUUCACUAGCAAUUUGACCAAAAAGUCAUAUUUUACCAGAAGUUACGAUGAUCUGAAUUCUAAAUCGAUAAAUGUCGUGUACGGAUUAGAGUGCAACUUUUGCGGAUUGGUAUACGUCGGUGAAACGAAAGGAAGGCUUAACAAACGUAUGUGCGGUCAUAGAUCAGACAUUAAUCUUAAUGCUAACGAUAUUCUAUACCAGCAUUUCAAUCAGCCCGAUCAUUUCAUCGUUUCCAUGACAGUUCGCAUUAUCGAAAAGAUAUACCAUAGCUCUAACAAUCCUAAUCUUUCAACAACUCUCUGUAGACAAAAAGAUGGACUACUGGAUUAGACAAUUUGGGAACUGCGACACCUUAUGGUUGCAAUGACAAAAUUGAUGGUAUAGAUAUUCUAUCUAGUCCUUCGUGUAACUCGAUGAAUGUGAUGAAUAUUUUCAACUCCUCGACGUAGACGCAGUCAUGGUCAUCGUCAUUCAGGGGUCGAAUUUAAGCUUUUUUGUGUACUGGCCAGUCGGACAAAUGGACUGAAAACUCUACUGGUCCGGCUCCAAAUCUACUGGUCUUGCAAAAAUGACAUUAAUUUGACAAACACUAAUAUAAAUGACAGAUGUUUAAUUUUAUUUUGAUGCUUUCGUUUACAUAAGUUAGACAGUAACAAAGGAAUAGUCUUUAUUCUGGUUUUGAUAAAGGCUUUGGUAAUCUUAAUGAUUUUCUUUAUUUUUCUUUUAUUGCCGUAGAUUUUUUGUGCUGUUCCGAUUGCUCAUGAGCAAGUACAGAAUCCAAUCUGAAAUUUGACGAUUCAGUUACGAAAAUACAUUUCCUAUCUAGGUCUGUCACUGCAAAUUUUUCACAUAUUGUACAGUUCAUUAAAUUCCGAUCUACUAUAGUCUAUAAUGCAACCAUUCACGAUCUUUUUCCCAUGAUUUUUGGUAUUUGCGUUUCCUUUUGUUAUUUGUUUGUCACUUUAGUAUACUUUAUUUCGAUCUUCCUUUUGAUUUUCAGUUAUCUUAAUGUUUUUGUCCGGCGGUUUAACUCCUUCCAAAAAUUUCCACAUUUUAUAUUGUGAAGGACGCUCACCCGAGAUAUUAAUUAACUUGAUCAAUUGUAAUACCCCCCCAGUACCGUGUAAUUGAUUUCACAGGUAAAUUGUUUUGUAAACAAACGGAGAUUGCGAUGCAAUCAGUGAUUUUUAUCGACAAAUUUCUACUGGUCCGCCGGAACACCAGCUGACAAAAUCUACUUGUCCGACGCAAAUUUUACUAGUCCCGGGCCACCGGACUAGCGCUAAUUUCGACCCCUGUACGUCAUUAUACAUCACCUUCUCUGCAUGAUGUAUCUAUUAAUGACUUGCUGCCAUUUAUACAAAAGUCGUUAGGUAUUCAUCACAUUCGCACGAAACUUUAUUCAUUACCCCUUUCAUAACUUCAUUCUCUGUUCAAUUUAUGUUUGGAAUCCAUUGUUACAAACCCUCAUUCAAACCUAUACAAAAUUACAGCUAUAAUUUCGGAUAUUGCAAGUCACAGACUUUUCAAGCCAGUCCGCAUUGGCAAAGAUGAAAAAGAGAAAAGAUCUUUCCUUAAUCUUUCCUUUGCCAACAAAGGUAUCGAUGGCGUCAACUUAGCCAAUAUCCUUCAUCAUAAAUUAGUUCAAUCGAAAAUACCUCCUGAUUUCAAAGACCAGUCUGUACCAAUCAUUUCUUAUACCUAUACCAAACCUAUUGCAACUAAAAUUUUCAAUUACAAACACAUUUUGCAGGAUCUUGAUAUUGACGACUUCAAGUCUAAACCUCCCGAUUGCACUUGUGGUAGUUCCCAAUUCACAUAUAAUCCCGCUGGCCACACUAUUAUCGGUGACCUCAACAUUGUUAAUAACAUUUCUCUACGAAAUGUGUUAUCGAAAGGUCCGAAAUAUCGUGAGCCUAAAUCCAUCAAUUGGAAAUUCAACUUUAAAAGUUUGAUGGAUUCAGUUGAGGAUUAUGCCAGGCAAUGGGCUAAGCGCGAGAAGGAAGAUGUAGACACUCUUUCCGAAUGGAUUAAGGCAGUGAGGUCGUUGAUACAAAUCAGAAUUAAGAAACUGAAUGGGUCUAUCAAUGCCCAUGCUACGUCAAUCUUUAAAGAUCCAAAUGUUGCAAAACACCUAUCCUACCUCCAUGACAAAUAUGUUGUUGUUUUCUCUACGAAAUGUGUUAUCGAAAGGUCCGAAAUAUCGUGAGCCUAAAUCCAUCAAUUGGAAAUUCAACUUUAAAAGUUUGAUGGAUUCAGUUGAGGAUUAUGCCAGGCAAUGGGCUAAGCGCGAGAAGGAAGAUGUAGACACUCUUUCCGAAUGGAUUAAGGCAGUGAGGUCGUUGAUACAAAUCAGAAUUAAGAAACUGAAUGGGUCUAUCAAUGCCCAUGCUACGUCAAUCUUUAAAGAUCCAAAUGUUGCAAAACACCUAUCCUACCUCCAUGACAAAUAUGUUGUUGUUCCCGCAGAUAAAGCCCCAAACAACAUCGUUUUUGUAUGUAAAACUCAUUACAUUAACUGCUUGAUAAACGAAUUAGGUAUUGACAAUUUACUUGGAAACUCAACAUAUACCCUCACGACACUUACCAAAGAGGAAAUCCUGGAUAAUCAUAGGUCUGUUCUGUGUUCCUUUGGAAUUUCAACCAAAGAUGAAGAACUGGAUCUGCCAUCACUGUAUUGGAUACCUAAACUACAUAAGUGUCCUUACAAACAACGGUAUAGUGCUGGGUCUCCCAAGUGCUCCACGAAACCUCUUUCUAAAUUAUUAACAUCUAUUUUAUAAGCAAUCAAAGACGGGCUUCAAAGUUAUUGUGAAACUGCCUAUUCUAGAGGGGGCGUGAAUCAGAUGUGGAUACUUAAAAAUUCAUACAAUCUAACUCUCUUUCAACUUGUAACAGUAUUAAAACAUUUGACUUUUCUACUCUGUACACUAGUAUUCCACAUUCCAAACUAAAAGACAAAUUGAAAAGAGUUGGUAUUGCUUUGCUUCGUAAAAAAGAAUGGCCAACGUAGGUACAAGUAUCUUGUCUUAGGGAGGGAUAAAUCCUACUUUGUAAAGGAUCACUCUGAUUCGAACAAAAAAUUCUCUGAAACAGAUAUUAUCAAGAUGCUUGAUUUCUUGUUUUGGACAACAUAUUUGUUACGUUCGGAGGACGUGUUUUUCAACAGACUGUCGCCAUUCCAAUGGGAACAAACUGUGCCCCUCUACUUGCCGACUUGUUUCUUUAUUAUUAUGAGGCUCACUUCAUGCAGGAACUUCUUAGGAAGAAAGAUAAGAAGUUAGCACUAUUCUUUAACUCUACUUUUCGCUAUAUAGAUGAUGUUCUUUCACUAAAUAAUUCAAAAUUUGGUGACUAUGUGGAACGCAUCUAUCCAAUCGAGCUAGAGGUAAAGGAUACUACAGAUACAGUUAAGUCAGCCUCAUAUCUUGACUUACAUCUAGAAAUUGACAAUGAGGGUCGGUUGAAAACAAAACUUUACGACAAAAGAGAUGAUUUCAGCUUUCCAAUUGUGAACUGUCCAUUUCUAAGUAGCAACAUUCAGCAGCACCUGCAUACGGGGUAUAUAUCUCCCAAUUGAUACGAUAUUCCCGUGCUUGCAUUUCCUAUCAUGAUUUUCUUGAUAGAGGGUUGCUGCUCACAAGGAAGCUAUUAAACCAAAGAGUUCCAAAUGGUGAAGUUGAAAUCAUCCCUUCGUAAAUUUUACGGACGCCAUCACGAGUUGGUUGACCGUUAUGGAAUAAUCGUAUCACAAAUGAGAUCGGAUAUGUUCCUUAUGUCGUAACUACAAUCCCUUCCUUUCCUGAAUGUGACCUACCGAAUUAGACUAUUUACCGGAUUUGUUAUCACAUAAGCAACACGACGGGUGCCGCAUGUAGAGCAGGAUCUGCGUACCCUUCCGGAGCACAUGAGUUCACCCCUAGUGUUUUGGUGGGGUUCGUGUUGUUUAUUCUUUAGUUUUCUAUGUUGUGUCGUGUGUGCUGUUGUUUGUUUGUCUUUUCAUUUUAAGCCAUGGCGUUGUCAGUUUGUUUUAGAUUUAUGAGUUUGACUGUCCCUUUGGUAUCUUUCGUCCCUCUUUUGUACCUUGAGCCUGGUAUUUUCAAUCAGACUAUAAGCCGUCGAAAAUAUAAAAAUGCAUAGUAAACGGAGGGAGUUAGGGGGGGGGAUGGACAAACUGAGGAAAAAAUUCUCUUACUAGAUUGGCACACAUUGGCUUUACUUUUUUUGCUUGACUAAACCUAUUAAAAAUUUAGCGAUGAAAUUAUUCUUCAUGUUGGUGUGCAAUUUAUAUUAAACAGGAACGAUGAAACCAUUUCUGUUUUUUUUCACACCGAAGGUUGAAAACAAUAUGCAUUACAAUACCAUAGACUGAAUGUGCCUUAUCCUAGUGUGAUACGAAACCAACCAAUUGUAUUCUUAUACAUGUAUUACAAGUAUAACAAACAUAUCUAUUCAAUAAAAAGUUUAAAAUACUGAAAAACAAACACAAAACAUAUUCUUCCUAAAAAAAUAAUAAUUUAUGAACAAAAAUCAGCUACAUAACAAGCAAAUAUGAGAAACGUAAUGAGUGAACACUUUUCUUGUUAAUGACCUAAUAGUGCAAGCAACAAAAUGAUUUACGAUUCCCCAACAAUAAUUACAUUAGAUGUAUGUUUCAUUAUAAUAUUUUAUUCUGAUUGGCUAACUGCACAUCACGUGUUAUUCCGUAAGCAGUUACAAUGCUCAAUACAACUUUUCACUCAUGAUAACACGUGCUCCAACAAUAAAGUGCACAGGUGAAUUAAAUAAUAAAAUUAUAAAAUUCGUGUUUUCAUGAUCAUAGCUAAAAAAUGUAAUUAUAAGUAUUGAAUGCUUAUUUUUGUAACUUUAUAGGAUUGUAAAAGCGUUGACCGUGCGUACAUUUUUAAAAUGAAGCGCUUCCGCGCUUCAUACAAAAUGUACUUCGGUCAACGCUUUUACACCCCAAUAAAUUUACAAAAAGAAGCAUUCAAUUCUUAAAUGAAAUCUCGGAUGAAAAGGAAUUGGAAUAAUAUAAAAACGAAUUUGUUUUGACAUGAACAGACAAAACAUGACGGUACUCUAUCUCAAAUUAAGUGGCAUAAGAUAUAGUUUAACUAUUGUCGUUUUGAAUUUUUGAAUGCGUAAAUAGUACAGAGCACUUUGCAGCAAACAACCAAUGUUCAAUCUUAUUCUUAAUAUGACUUGCAAUUUCAAAGAGAGAGCAAGUUUUGCGAUACACACUGACCAUGAUGACAAUGUGCGUAUUAUAACACUAAAUUGUUUAACUGCAAAUAUGUUUUUGGAUAGAUGCAUACGAAUAUUAUUUAUAUUUAUUCAAAUAACUAUUAUAUCUGAUUGAAAUGAGAAAAAAACUAUCUAAAAAAACUACAAUAUUUUUUCUAUGAGAUAUGAUAUAUCCUAUCGGACUGUAAUUUUUCCUAUGGAUUCAAAUAAAAAAAGUUUUAUAGUAACGGAAUAAAAUACGUGGUAAAAAAUCGUCAUUUUGUUAGUAAUCCCAAAGGGUUAACAAAUUUCUAAUGUAUUUUGAUAAGACUUUAGAUUUUCAUAAUCUUUCACAUUAUUACGUUGUCAGUGUCUAAGUGAAAUAUAUAUAAAAGAGUUUCAUCAGCUAAUACAAAAAAUAUUCAAAAUACCUGACCUGUCUUCGCAUUUGUUCUGGUUGAACAAAAUUCUAUCGAAUGAAUGUAACUAUUUGAAAAUUGAUUUGGUUCAUGUUAACAAACCAUACACACAUUCAAUUUUUAUUUUGUAUUUUGAAUGUUUCAAAAUCAAUCAAAUUCAUGUACAUUUAUACGUGCUGUUGCAUCAGGUCAUCUGAAAUAAUUAACACGUGAGAUUUAGUGUAAUUGAUUGGUAUGAUUUUGUUUUCAUUUCCUGGUAUCUUAAUUAAUAAAAAAACGCAUUAUUUGUACAAAAAUAAUUUUUGUUAACUUUUCAAUUUUUGUAUUCAAAUUUUCGAGGUAUCGUUCUUGUUUUGUCAGGGUCGGUAACUGUUUUUAAAUAAAGGUUAUUCAGAUUGAAUGUUUCCACUGUAAGAAUAUUGACAAUGCAGGAAUAUGUAUUAUUUCAGGAUAUUUCAAAGUAGAAGCAGCUUCUGCGAUCAGUGGAUCGACUGCUCAGUUAAAAUGUGGACAAACAGUUACUGGGGGAAAGGUAAUCACUUGGGGAAAAGUUCUAUCAGGAAAAGAAACAACAUACUCAAUAGGGACAGCUAUAAACCAAAAUUUACCACCUGAAUUAAAAUCCAGAUUACAUGUCACAGUUGACCAUACUGCAGGAGAAUAUGAUCUGAGAAUAAAUGGUGUCAUGAAGAGUGAUGAAGGAACUUACCAGUGUGCAAUUUUUGGUACAGCUGAUGGUAUUACUAGACAUACCUUGACUGUUAUAA